rnacentral:rRNA from 1 species
AGGACGAACGCUGGCGGCGUGCUUAACACAUGCAAGUCGAGCGGUAAGGCCUUUCGGGGUACACGAGCGGCGAACGGGUGAGUAACACGUGGGUGAUCUGCCCUGCACUUCGGGAUAAGCCUGGGAAACUGGGUCUAAUACCGGAUAUGACCUCAGGUUGCAUGACUUGGGGUGGAAAGAUUUAUCGGUGCAGGAUGGGCCCGCGGCCUAUCAGCUUGGUUGGUGGGUAAUGGCCUACCAAGGCGACG